GAGCCCGUAACUCAGCUGGUAGAGUAGCGGACUUUUAAUCCGCGAGUCGAAGGUUCGAAUCCUUCCGGGCUCACCA
rnacentral:tRNA from 2 species